rnacentral:rRNA from 1 species
UACACUCCUGCGGGAGGCAGCAGUGGGGAAUAUUGCACAAUGGGCGCAAGCCUGAUGCAGCGACGCCGCGUGGGGGAUGAAGGCCUUCGGGUUGUAAACUCCUUUCGCUAGGGACGAAGCUUUUUUGUGACGGUACCUAGAUAAGAAGCACCGGCUAACUACGUGCCAGCAGCCGCGGUAAUACGUAGGGUGCGAGCGUUGUCCGGAAUUACUGGGCGUAAAGGGCUCGUAGGUGGUUUGUCGCGUCGUCUGUGAAAUUCUGGGGCUUAACUCCGGGCGUGCAGGCGAUACGGGCAUAACUUGAGUGCUGUAGGGGUAACUGGAAUUCCUGGUGUAGCGGUGAAAUGCGCAGAUAUCAGGAGGAACACCGAUGGCGAAGGCAGGUUACUGGGCAGUUACUGACGCUGAGGAGCGAAAGCAUGGGUAGCGAACAGGAUUAGAAACCCCGGUAGUCCC